rnacentral:tRNA from 1 species
GCAGGUGUAGUGCAACUGGCCAGCAUGUGGGUCUCGUAAGCUCACGAUAUGAGUUCAAAUCUCAUCGCCUGCUCCA